rnacentral:rRNA from 2 species
AACGGUAACAGGAAAUAGCUUGCUAUUUUGCUGACGAGUGGCGCACGGGUGCGUAACGCGUAUACAAUCUACCUUUUGCUGAGGGAUAGCCCAGAGAAAUUUGGAUUAAUACCUCAUGGUAUUAUUGAUAGGCAUCUAUUAAUAAUUAAAGAUUACGGCAAAAGAUGAGUAUGCGUCCCAUUAGCUAGUUGGUGAAGUAACGGUUCACCAAGGCAACGAUGGGUAGGGGUCCUGAGAGGGAGAUCCCCCACACUGGUACUGAGACACGGACCAGACUCC